rnacentral:rRNA from 1 species
GGCAUGGCGGGGUGCUUACCAUGCAAGUCGUACGAGAACGCUUCAGCUUGCUGAAGCUAGUAAAGUGGCGCACGGGUGAGUAACGCGUGGGUAAUCUACCUCCGAAUUGGGGAUAACGUUGCGAAAGCGACGCUAAUACCGGAUAAUAUCAUAAGGGCUUUGGUCCUUUUGAUCAAAGGUGGCCUCUCCUUGGAAGCUAUUGUUUGGAGAUGAGCCCGCGUCCCAUUAGCUUGUUGGUGGGGUAAUGGCCUACCAAGGCGACGAUGGGUAGCUGGUCUGAGAGGAUGAUCAGCCACACUGGAACUGACACACGGUCCAGACUCCUACGGGAGGCAGCAGUGAGGAAUUUUGCGCAAUGGGGGAAACCCUGACGCAGCAACGCCGCGUGAGUGAUGAAGGCUUUCGGGUCGUAAAGCUCUGUCAAGUGGGAAGAACCGCUUUGAGGUUAAUACCCUCGAGGCUUGACGGUACCACUGAAGGAAGCACCGGCUAACUCCGUGCCAGCAGCCGCGGUAAUACGGGGGGUGCAAGCGUUAUUCGGAUUUACUGGGCGUAAAGCGCGCGUAGGCGGCCGUUUAAGUCAGAUGUGAAAGCCCGGGGCUCAACCCCGGAAGUGCAUUUGAUACUAUUCGGCUUGAGUAUGGGAGAGGGAAGUGGAAUUCCUGGUGUAGAGGUGAAAUUCGUAGAUAUCAGGAGGAACACCGGUGGCGAAGGCGACUUCCUGGACCAAUACUGACGCUGAGGCGCGAAGGCGUGGGGAGCAAACAGGAUUAGAUACCCUGGUAGUCCACGCAGUAAACGGUGAUCACUAGUGUAGCGGUAUUGACCCCUGCUGUGCGCAGCUAACGCAUUAAGUGAUCGCUGGGGAGUACGGCGCAAGUAAACUCAAGGAUGACGGGGCCGCACAGCGUGAGCAUGUGUAUAUCGACGCACGCGAGACUACUGAUUUGACAUCUCGGAUCUAUGAAAUAGACGUGCUCGGGAGCGAUGACUGUGCUGCAUGGCUGCGUCAGCUCGGUCUGAAUGUAGUUAGUCCGCACGAAGCACCUCUAGUACAGACUUCGUUGGACUAAGAACUGCUGGCUACGGGGAAUGAGCAUGACCUAGCUUAGCUAGCAGGUACACUGGUUCCAAUGGCGAGU